rnacentral:tRNA from 1 species
GGUUGCGUUGAAUUAUCCGUGUGGGUAAGCUCGGCAGACUUGAAAAGUCUAAAAGUAGACUGCCC